AGCUCUAAUAGCGUAUAUUAAAGUUGUUGCAGUUAAAAAGCUCGUAGUCGGAUGUCGGGCUCGGGCAGGCUGUCGGCUUCGGUCGGACGGCAGGCUCGGGUCUUUCUGCCUGAGGAUCCAUCUCAUUCACUUGGGGUGGGGACGCAGGCCGUUUACUUUGAAAAAAUUAGAGUGUUCAAAGCAGGCCUACGCUUGAAUACAUUAGCAUGGAAUAAUGGAAUAGGACUUUGGUGCUAUUUUGUUGGUUUAUGGGACCGAAGUAAUGAUUAACAGGGACAGUUGGGGCCGUUUAUAUUUCGUUGUCAGAGGUGAAAUUCUUGGAUUUACGAAAGAUAAACUUCUGCGAAAGCAUUCGGCAAGGAUGUUU
rnacentral:rRNA from 1 species